rnacentral:rRNA from 1 species
CCUUAGUGUGGGGGAUAACUAUUGGAAACGAUAGCUAAUACCGCAUAAUGUCUUCGGACCAAAGAGGGGGACCUUCGGGCCUCUCGCGCUAAGAUUAGCCCAGGUGAGAUUAGCUAGUUGGUGAGGUAAGAGCUCACCAAGGCGACGAUCUCUAGCUGGUCUGAGAGGAUGAUCAGCCACACUGGAACUGAGACACGGUCCAGACUCCUACGGGAGGCAGCAGUGGGGAAUAUUGCACAAUGGGCGAAAGCCUGAUGCAGCCAUGCCGCGUGCAUGAAGAAGGCCUUCGGGUUGUAAAGUACUUUCAGUAGGGAGGAAGGUGUUGUAGUUAAUAGCUGCAGCAUUUGACGUUACCUACAGAAGAAGCACCGGCUAACUCCGUGCCAGCAGCCGCGGUAAUACCGAGGGUGCGAGCGUUAAUCGGAAUUACUGGGCGUAAAGCGCAUGCAGGUGGUUCAUUAAGUCAGAUGUGAAAGCCCGGGGCUCAACCUCGGAACCGCAUUUGAAACUGGUGAACUAGAGUGCUGUAGAGGGGGGUAGAAUUUCAGGUGUAGCGGUGAAAUGCGUAGAGAUCUGAAGGAAUACCAGUGGCGAAGGCGGCCCCCUGGACAGACACUGACACU